AAUACGGAGGAAAAGAAACUAACUAGGAUUCCCUUAGUAACGGCGAGUGAACCGGGAUGAGCUCAAAUUUGAAAUCUGGCGUCUUUCAGGCGUCCGAGUUGUAAUCUAUAGAGGCGUUUUCCGCGCCGGACCGCGUCCAAGUCUCUUGGAAUAGAGUAUCAAAGAGGGUGACAAUCCCGUACUUGACGCGACAACCGGUGCUCUGUGAUACGUUCUCAAUGAGUCGAGUUGUUUGGGAAUGCAGCUCUAAAUGGGUGGUAAAUUCCAUCUAAGGCUAAAUAUUGGCGAGAGACCGAUAGCGAACAAGUACCGUGAGGGAAAGAUGAAAAGCACUUUGGAAAGAGAGUUAAACAGCACGUGAAAUUGUUAAAAGGGAAACGAUUGAAGUCAGUCGUGUGGGAAGUAUUCAGCCGUCUCUGGCGGUGUAUUUGCUUCUCACGGGUCAACAUCAGUUUGAUCCGGUAGAAAAAGGCGGGAAGAAGGUGGCACCCUCGGGUGUGUUAUAGCUUCCUGUCAUAUGUGCCGGACCAGACUGAGGAACGCAGCUUGCAGCAAUGCCGGGGUUCGCCCACGUACAAGCUUAGGAUGUUGACAUAAUGGCUUUAAACGACCCGUCUUAA
rnacentral:rRNA from 1 species